rnacentral:lncRNA from 1 species
GAUCCUUCUGAGGCUGUUCUAUCAUCUUAGACAUGAAGACAUCCACUGCAGCUUGGGGUUUCAUCUCAUGGCUAUGGAUUUUAAACAUAGUUUUAGUCAAAUAUAUCUGUUGAGAAGAUUCUUCAGAUGACAGCAUUUCUCUCUCUUCCAUAUAAGACAGCCCCUCAAUAGAGGGCAUGGGUUUUUGUAUUGAUGUUUUUCAUUGUGUCUGGACUACCACAGUGAUACAUUCUUCAUUAGGCGCUGUACAAAAUCUCAUAGCCCUCUUAUUUGUGUUUAUAAACUGUAUUGAUACAUUUAAACCAAUAUCUAACUGAAAGACUGAACUAUCACAGAACUAUUCUCUCAAUCUUGAUGCUUUUGUCUUGAAGGCUUUUGUUCCAGCCACCUGUUUGUAUGUGAAUUGAGCAGACAUGGGUAUAUCACGAGGAUGACUGACAGAUGGAAUUACCUUUGAAAGAAUAUCAAGCUGGACUUCUUCGACUGGAUGUUUCACAUCAAACUUUCAGAUCGGUCUUUAGUGUAUUUCUUAAGACGUGCGGAUACUUUGCAUUACUAAAGGAUAUUGUCAAGGGGCUGAAUGAAGUGCAGACCCACUAACUUUUGGAAAUCCCAUCCGUCUCACAGUCAAUCCAAAAGAUGUAGCGCCAACUCCUCCGUUUCUGUCCAUCUUGUCCCCUUUCAAUGGCAAAGGACCAGAUAUUUGUCUGGCCGCCGGGUUCUUUCCUCAAGAAAAGACUAUGACUUUGAAUAUGAAAGUGAAAAAACCUGAGAAUUUUACCACCAGCAAUGCACCUUUGUUCAAAUCGUCCAAAACCUAUUAUUAUGCUGGAUCCUCUGAUGAUGAAAUCCAAAAAUGCCAAAUGGAUGAAGAAACUGCAGACAAAACGCCUGACACUCCUGACACGACAGAUAAACCCGAAAAACUGACUCCACAGUCUUGUGAAACAAAUGCUAGAACUUCUCCCUCAGGGUUCAUAGACACUGGUGAUCCAAAAAUGAACUUCAUGAAUCUUCUUGUGACAGGUCUGAGAAUUCUGCUUGCUAAAUGUGUUGCAGUUAAUGUAAUGAUGACUGUAAAGGCAUUCGUAUUUUAAAAGUUCAAUUCAGCCAAAUCAUCUGAAUAAUCUCAAUUUUGAACUGGAGCUUGAUCGAACCCUGACAAACAAACAAAUGCGGUUAUACAGUCAGCCACAGGGUCAGUAUUAAUCUAUAUUCUGUCUAAUAAUGUUAAAUGGAAUGAAAAUACAAAUUGUUAGUAAUGUCUUUCAUAUAUACAGAAUAUCGACAAACAUUGCAAACCUUUUUGACAUUUAGAAACAUUUCUGAAUUCAGUGGUGUAAUGUGCGUAUUGCUUUGCAAUGGUGUGUGUAUUUUCUGGCUUUAGUUGCAAACAGGUGCAAGUACAUUUUUUGAUACUUUUACUUUUUUUUUUACUUUUUUCUUUUUUUACAUAACAGCAUUGCAUUGUUUAAGACUUUUACAUUGUCUAAUCGUGUAACGGAUUACUAUUUGACUUAACUAUUGAGGCUCUGAUCUUU